rnacentral:rRNA from 1 species
CUACACAUGCAGUCGAGGGGUAUAGGUUUUCGGACCUAGAGACCGGCGCACGGGUGCGUAACGCGUAUGCAAUCUACCUUUCACAGAGGGAUAGCCCAGAGAAAUUUGGAUUAAUACCUCAUAGUAUAGCAGUUUCGCAUGAAACCACUAUUAAAGUUCCAACGGUGAAAGAUGAGCAUGCGUCCCAUUAGCUAGAUGGUAAGGUAACGGCUUACCAUGGCUACGAUGGGUAGGGGUCCUGAGAGGGAGAUCCCCCACACUGGUACUGAGACACGGACCAGACUCCUACGGGAGGCAGCAGUGAGGAAUAUUGGUCAAUGGACGCAAGUCUGAACCAGCCAUGCCGCGUGCAGGAUGACGGUCCUAUGGAUUGUAAACUGCUUUUGUACGAGAAGAAACAUUCCGACGUGUCGGAACUUGACGGUAUCGUAAGAAUAAGGAUCGGCUAACUCCGUGCCAGCAGCCGCGGUAAUACGGAGGAUCCAAGCGUUAUCCGGAAUCAUUGGGUUUAGAGGGUCCGUAGGCGGUUUAGUAAGUCAGUGGUGAAAACCCAUCGCUC